AUGAGAAGGGUAUCUCUCCAGGAGGACAGUAUCUCUCCAGGAGGAAGGUAUCUCUCCAGGAGGAGGGUAUCUCUCCAGGAGGAGGGUAACUUUCCAGGAGGAGGGUAUCUCUCCAGGAGGAAGGUAUCUCUCCAGGAGGAAAGUAUCUCUCCAGGUGGAGGGUAUCUCUCCAGGAGGAGGGUAUCUCUCCAGGUGGAGGGUAUCUUUCCAGGAGGAGGGUAUCUCUCCAGGAGGAGGGUAUCUCUCCAGGUGGAGGGUAUCUUUCCAGGAGGAGGGUAUCUCUCCAGGAGGAGGGUAACCUUCCAGGAGGAGGGUAUCUCUCCAGGUGGAGGGUAUCUUUCCAGGAGGAGGGUUGGCCACCCUGAUCUAAAGCAAUCAUUCUAG
rnacentral:lncRNA from 1 species